rnacentral:rRNA from 1 species
GUGGGGAAUAUUGGGCAAUGGGCGAAAGCCUGACCCAGCAACGCCGCGUGAAGGAAGAAGGUUUUCGGAUCGUAAACUUCUAUCCUUGGUGAAGAUAAUGACGGUAGCCAAGAAGGAAGCCCCGGCUAACUACGUGCCAGCAGCCGCGGUAAUACGUAGGGGGCAAGCGUUGUCCGGAAUGAUUGGGCGUAAAGGGCGCGUAGGCGGCCCGGUAAGUCUGAAGUGAAAGUCCUGCUUUUAAGGUGGGAAUUGCUUUGGAUACUGUCGGGCUUGAGUGCAGGAGAGGUAAGCGGAAUUCCGGGUGUAGCGGUGAAAUGCGUAGAGAUCGGGAGGAACACCAGUGGCGAAGGCGGCUUACUGGACUGUAACUGACGCUGAGGCGCGAAAGUGUGGGGAGCAAACAGGAUUAGAUACCCCGGUAGUCC